rnacentral:rRNA from 1 species
UACGUAGGGCGCAAGCGUUGUCCGGAAUUAUUGGGCGUAAAGAGCGUGUAGGCGGUUUGGUAGGUCCGCUGUGAAAACUCGAGCUCAACAUUCGAGACGCCGGUGGAAACCAUCAGACUAGAGUCCGGAAGAUGGAGAGUGGAAUUCCUGGAUGUAGCGGUGGAAAUGCGCAGAUAUCAGGAGGAACACCGAUGGCGAAGGCAGAUCUCUGGGCCGUAACUGACGCUGAGGAGCGAAAGCAUGGGGAGCGAACAGG